AUUCUGUGACGGCCUCACUGGUGGAGGACAAUGCUGCUGGUGACUGGUAGAUGGGAAGGGGAGGAAAACUUACUGUGGUUCUGUACUGAAGAGGAUUGGAUCCAGCUUUAUAGGAGACAGAAAUACCUUACAAUCAUAACAUAAAAGAGACAACAAUUAAUUUCAGAAGAAGUUCAGAGUUGGAACUGAUAUGGUUCCUCCAUGCUGUUUUUGGCUACUCAGUUUCCCGAGAUCAUAAGACUAUCAUUCUAAGGUUGUAGCUUUUGUCUAUCAUCUUUAUGCCCCAGGAUGGCUGCUAGAGCUCCAGCCAUUUUAACUGUGUUUCUUUUAAAGAGGAGGAACUUCCUAGAAAUUCUAUAUAACUUCUGCUUAUGUCUUAUUGUUCAGAACUUUGCCCUAUGACCACAGUUAGCUGCAAGGUAGGUUGGAAUAUAUCGUAUUUAUUAUUUAUGGAAAGAAGCUGGAAUAAAAAGUGAGUUUAUGUUUUUGCAAAGGGGAAAAAUGGAUAUUGAGGGGUAAAUAGCAUUCUUUGAGAAGGUCCAUCCAUUUUGCUACCCAAGUACUCAUGUAAACACUUCUUGUACCUUCCUGCUCCGUAAAGUAUGAUGUUAAGGACUGGAGAUUCAGAGCCAUCCUGGAGCAAGAUGAGAACAUAAAAAAAGACACAACAGAGCAAGACGAGGCAAAUCCCUUGAGCCCCUGGUACCAUGGGCAGACUACUCCUGGACCGCUUGUGGGAGAGAAACACACCUCUGUUCAUUUGUUCCCAUGGUUGCAGCUGAAACUCACAUUAAUUGACACAAAUAUAACCUAAACCUAAAGAGGAGCUUUCUUUUUAAGGCUGUAUCUUACUGUGCUUCCAGGGCAGGUGGACCGACCACUCACCCAUCCAUCCGGGUCUUUCAGGGAUGCUGGCAUUCAAAGGUGACCAAGGUGUAGGUCUUACCCACAGGAGCUCACACUCUAACAAGGAACAGAAAGCCAGUCAAAUCAGGGGCCUGCAGGGAGAGCACAGAAACAUUUGCAACCUCCUCUACUGCCAUUUUUAGACUGGCGCAAAAACAAAGUUUAUAAGUAAAUUUCAGAUAUUGAUCAUAGCAUCUUUUUCUCCAUCAUUAACAUUGUCAUGUUCAUCAUCUACAGUUAUUGCUUGGGUAAAUAAAAUUCAGGUGCUAUUACUUUUUAUAUUAGAAGGAUGAUUGUAUUGGAUUAAGCGUUUAUAAUCCCUUGAGAAUAUUUCACUAUAAUUGGAGUAGAACAUUUUUGCAUAAAACAAAAGAUAGACUGGCUAGCUGUAAUCAUAGUCAGGAGGUGGUGAACAUUUUAGGUGAAAAAAUAUACUUUUUAUGUGAAUCCCCAGGUAGGCUGAAUCCUUAUUUACAAUUCUUGUUGGCAUGACAACAUCCACAGCACUUCUGUGUUCUAAACAGUUCUUAUAUUGUUUAAUUUUUCAUAGCAACUUCUGUGUUGCAGAUGAGGAACCCAGAGUUCGUAGAGUCAAGGUAACCCACCAAGGUCACAUCCGUCAGUGGCCAGUAGUGGAGCCAGGAUUUGAACGCAUGUCUAAGCCGACUCUUGGAUUCCGUUCAAGUGUGAACAGUACCUUUGCCAGGAAGACUUAGCCGUGGAAGCAGAAGCGGGAGGGUGAUGGAAGCUGAGGAGGAAGCAGGUUCAGCUUUCGUGAGGUUUCCCUGCUCAGAGAGGAGGCCGUGGCUGCAGUUAUCAGGUAACUGAAGUGUCACCGCGAUGCUGUCAGAAAGGCGGGAUGGAUUGGUUCCUGUUGGUUCCGGCGUGGCAGCUAAGCAAGUUCGCAAGGUGCAGGACAUCGUUUGGAGUGUGAGAUACUGGAUCAUACAACCAGAAGAGUUCUUUAAUGCUUGACCCAACUUCCUGCGUUCACCAGUGAGGACCCUGACUCCUGGAAUGCUCAAAAACGGAACCACUGCAGAGCAUAACCUGCUUCCACGUCUUCCUUGCUGUAGGACCACGUCCCUAACAGGCCUGUGUGUGUGGUGGCUCCCAGAUCUUCAGGAAGCCGCUCCAGCACUCACGUAGGCCCACACCCUGUGCACGGCUGCAAACUCUCUUGCUCUUCUUUUAUCUUGAUGUCUUAUUAAUCAUGAUUUCAUUCCAUCACUAACUAUUAUCUCAAGUCAGAGUAGAUACAUUUUUUAAAUAUUUAUUUGAAAGAGAGAGAGAAAUCUUCCAUCUGCUGGUUCACUCCCCAAAUGGCUACAACAGCUAGGGCUGGGCUAGGAGAAGCCAGGAGCCCGGAACCCCAUCUGGGUCUCCCCCAUUGGUGACAGGUGCCCAAGCACUUAGGCCGUCUUCCACUGCUUUCCCAGGGAGCACUAGCAGCAUUAGCAGGGAGCUGGACAGGAAGUGGAGCAGCCGGGAUUCCAGCUUAACUCGCUGUGCCAUAGUGCCAGCCCCCAGUGUUUGUCACUAGUGACAUGCAUAGAAGUCCUUUUUUUUUUAAAGGAAAUAACCUUGAGAGCUUUUAUUAAAAUUGGCUUUUUGAAAGUGAAAUCUUCAGUUUUUUUUUUUUUUCCCACUUUGUAGGGUGAGUGAUGAGGAGCUUGUCCAUGGAGAGAGCAGUUUCAGUCCUGCCACAUUCCUACUGUGUCCUCGGGUUGCAGUAUUUCCAGCCUGUGGUUUCUUUCUGUGAAUCUUUUAUCAUUUUUUCAAUGAUUGGAGAGCCAAUUUAGUUAAGGUUACAUAUUGUAGUGCCCCAGUCCACUUAACUAGGCACAAGCAAACAAAAUCCUCUAAAAUGCUGGAAGCAAACUGUGGGGAGCAACUCGGACUAGACUAAGUUACUGGAAUUAAGACUUAUUCUAUGCAUCUGCUCUCCCACAAUAUGGCGCUGAGAAGGGAGAAACAGCUUCUACACAGCUGCCUCCAGUUCAACCAAUAAACUGUAGGACCUGCUCCUGAUUGGAGGAGAGCAGCGUACUCGGCGUGUGGGUAGCAGAGUUGGGAUUGGUGGAAGAGGACUAUAAAGGAGGAGAGAGACAACAUGCACCAGGAACAUCUAAGGGGAACACCUGAGGAACACCUGUGCAGCCCCUGAGAGAGCCGGCCAGCGGUGUGCCGCUUCCCCGCGGAAGUGGGGAAAGUGGCAGGGGGAACCGCCCUUCCACGGAGGUGGAAGGGACGGUAGCCAACCCGGGAAGAACCAGCAGCAAACCCGGGGAGGGCCGAGCAGACAAAAGAACAGCGCAGGGUCCUGUGUCGUUCCUCCACGAAGAGGGGGAGCGACAGCAAACCAAGGGCUGAGGACAGAUACAAUCCUCAACCUUGCUGGGUGCUGGGACAUUUUUGUUUUGCUCAGAAAGCCUCACCUAUCUUCAGUUUUGCAGUUUGCGUGAAAACUCUAGGUUAGUCUAGAUAUAAAACAUUUGUCAAGAUGAAUUAAUUUAUUUUAAAAAUAAAAACAUGUAGUGCUGGCCCUAUGGUUGAAUAAUUGAAAAAUCCUGUAGGCUUCUUGUAUGUUGAAUAAUCUCAACUAUAUUCCUUGCCCACUUCUUCAUGUGAUUUAGGCUUCUAUAGAAAACUAUGGAAGGAGGAGUAGACAAAAGUAUUCAGAUAAUGUCAUUUCCCUAGCAAAGUCUGAGGAGUGACUCAUUAUCCCUGUAAAAAUUCUCCCGGAGUUCCUUUGGGUGUGACGGACUAAAUGGUGCUCUAGGAGGAAGAUGGCGUUUCACAUGUAUAAAUAUUCAUCAUUUCUAUAUAUUAGGGUUGGAGAACUCAAACAUUUACAGGAAAUUAAAUUCUAUUUUCAUUAGAACUCCCCUGUUCAGAAUCCUUAACUUGGAUAGCCCUGACAUUUAAAUUGGAAUCUUCCCCUGUCUUCAUUCUGUUGACCAAAGUAAUACUGGGAAAGUACAGGAAUCAUCUGUUUACCAGAGUGAUACCUAUCCAUAUCCAACUAUGCUAAAUCAACCUCCAAAGCCUAGUGGUUGAGAUUCCUACCUCCCAUAAUAAGGCCACCAGGUUCAAUUCCUGCUGGCAUGGUCGUUUUUUCAAUUAAAUUUCCAUUAACUUUUCGCCUCUGUGUCAUUAGACACUAAUUCUUAAGCGCUGCAAAGAUGAAAGAGUAAGAGGGGUCUUCUGAUUCAUGCAUCACGUUGCUGUCAAGUGAAAUGUGACGAUGACAACUUUUUAAUGUGAGAGACAGGGAAGCCAGCAAGGGGACAGGUCUUUUAGACCUGACACUGACCAUGGUAGCUGCAAUAUGGGGAAGGUGAUUUGAAAGAUAGUGGUCAUACAGGGAAGGCAUUCAGGAUUUGAAACACUGAACCUCAGGCAAGGAGCUGAGACCCUGGAGGAGGAGGGACCCGACUGGCUUGUUGUGUGGAGAGGAGACGGAGGAGUGUUGGGUGUUCGGAGCUAGCUGUUGGGAAUGGAGGAAGACAGGUACUUCCACUAAAGGCAAGAACAGAUGGGGAGCUUAGAGUGACCCACUUGACCAACGUGCAUAUUCUUAGAUGCCGUAAGGCUCAAGCAGCAGGAUGUGAAAGAGCAAGUGCCAGAGACCAGUUGUUGUGCUUAAGCACAGAAGUGGUAAGAUGUAUAGAUCAUGAGAAAUGGGUAGAGCCUACAAUUUUACAAGUAGGCAAGUAAGGAAAGGAUAGAAAGGCAAAAGCCAAUCAAACACAACACCAAAAUGUGUUUGUGAAUCGGAGGUGUGCAGAAAUGCUAAUAGUUGAUAGACAGGAAGGCCAGCUCAAGACGAGUUUUAUAGAAGAGACCGUGUUCUUUCAUGUUUUUGUGAAAGUGAGUAAGUCGUUUUUUAGAGUUUUGCUACAUAAAUAUUAGCCAAAAGAGCCAAGAGAGACAGAGAAAAAGGUCUUCCUUCCAUUGGUUCACCCCCCAAAUGGCCGCUAUGACUGGAGCUACACCCAUCUGAAGCCAGGAGCCAGGUGCUUCCUCCUGGUCUCCCAUAUAGGUGCAGGCGCCCAAGCACGUGGGCCAUCCUCCACUGCCUUCCCGGGCCACAGCAGAGAGCUGUACUGGAAGAGGAGCAGCCAGGUCUAGAACUGGUGCCCAUAUGGGAUGCUGGAGCCGCAGGUGGAGGAUUAACCAAGUGAGCCACAGCGCCAUCCCCGUACUUUCAUUUUUUUUUUUUUAAGAUUUAUUUAUUUAUUUGAAAGGCAGAGUGACAGAAACAGAGAUCUUCUACCUGCUGGUUCACUCCCCAAAUGGUUGCAAUGGCCAGGACUUAGCCAGAUCAAUGCUGGGAGCCCAAAACUCCAUCUGGGUCUCCCACGUGAGUGGCAGGGGUCCAAGUACCUGGACCACCUUUCACUUCUUUCCCAGAUACAUUAGCAGGGAGGUGGAUCACAAGUGGAGUAGCUGGGACUUGAACCAACCCUCAGAUACGGGAUGCUGGCAUUGCAGGUAGUGUCUUAGCCCACUGCGUCACAACACUGGCCCCUAGAAUCAGCUUUUAAAUAUCUAUAACAAUGCCUAAUAUUUAUUGGGAGCUACUGUUCCAUGCACUAUUUAAAAUAUUGUCCAUUUACUGUUGUAAACACUGUGUAUCUCAGUUAUUCAUCACAGUUACUGUAUUAGGGAGUUCUCUGUGUCUUCCCAAUUCAUGGAUGAAAAUACUAAGGCAAGUUCAGGUUCAUAGGGCUGGCAUGUGGUAGAGCUAGCAGUGAGAACUCUCUGUUUGUAACUAGCACUCCGUGGAAUGACAUUUAGUAUUAUUUCAAAAAGUUUACAUCUGGAGUAAGUUUGGCUUUCAUAUUUUAAUGCAGCUUUGCCUGAUGCUCUGAUAAUGUUCACUUCAAAAUAAAAUAGCAGAAUCCAAAACAAACUGCAAUAAAGAGGCCGGGCUGGUUCUGGAGGAACUAUUCUUUCUUUUUUUUCUUUUAUAGAAAGCUUUUAGGCUGGCGCUGUGGCUCAACAGGCUAAUCCUCCACCUGCUGCGCUGGCACACCAGGUUCUAGUCCCGGUCUGGGCGCCAGAGUCUGUCCUGGUUGCCCCUCUUCCAGGCCAGCUCUCUGCUAUGGCCUGGGAGUGCAGUGGAGGAUGGCCCAGGUGCUUGGGCCCUGCACCCCUUGGGAGACCAGGAGAAGCACCUGGCUCCUGCCUUCAGAUCAGCGCAGUGUGCCGGCCGCAGCACGCCGGCCAUGGCGGCCAUUGGAGGGUGAACCAACGGCAAAGGAAGACCUUUCUCUCUGUCUCUCUCUCUCACUGUCCACUCUGCCUGUCCAAAAUAAAAAAUAAAAAUAAAAAAAGAAAGCUUUUAUUUAAUAAAUAUAGAUUUCAUAGGUACAACUUUUGGAUUAUAGCAGUUCUUACCCUCAUACACGUCUUCCCACCCCCAAACCAUCCCACCUCCUACUCCUUCUCCCAUCUCAUUCUUCAUUAAGAUUCAUUUUUAAUUAUCUUUAUAUAUAUAGAAGAUCAUCUCUAUACUAAGUAAAGAUUUCAACAGUUUGGACCGCCACACACAUACAACAUAAAGUACUGUUUGAAGACUAGUUUUACCAUUAAUUCUAAUAGUAUAACUAUUAAGGACAGAGGUCCUACAUGGGGAGCAAGUGCACAGUGACUCCUGUUGUUGAUUUAACAACUGACACUCUUAUUUAUGACGUCAGUAAUCGCCCGAGGCUCUUGUCAUGAGCUGCCAAGGCUAUGGAAGCCUCUUGAGUUCACAAACUCCGACCUUAUUUAGACAAGGCCAUAGUCAAAGUAGUUCUCUCCUCCCUUCAGAGAAAAGUACCUCCUUCUUUGAUGGCCCCUUCUUUCCACUGGGAUCCCGCUCACAGAGAUCUUUCAUUUAGGUCAUUUUUUGCCACAGUGUCUUGGCUUUCCACGCCUAAAAUGCUCUCAUGGGCUUUCUUAGCCAGAUCUGAAUGUGUUAAGGGCUGAUUCUGAGGCCUGAGUGCUGUUUAGGGCCUUUGUCAGUCUAUGAGUCUGCUGUGUGGCCUGUUUCCCAUGUUGAAUGGUUCCCUCCUUUUUAAUUCUAUCAGUUUCUAUUAGCAGACACUUGGUCUUAUUUAUGUGAUCCCUUUGACACUUAAUCUUAUCUUUAUGAUUAAUUAUGAACUUAAACUGAUCACUUUAACUAGUAAGAUGGCAUUGGUACCUGCCAACUUAAUGGGAUUUGGAGUCCCAUGGCAAGUUUUUAGCUUUAGCCUUAAGGGUAAGUGUGAAGGAAUGUGUGCUGAACUGUACAUCUCCUCCUUCUCUUAUUCCCACUCUUAUUUUUAACAGGGAUCAAUUUUCAAUUGGAUUUAAACACAUAAGACCAUUCUUUAUUUUAUUGCUGUAAAACAACCACAUCACUUCUUUGAAGGAUGCAAAACAUAAAUUUAAAAGAAAUAGGGUUAUCUCAGCAAGGUUUCUUUUUAAAGACUUAUUUAUUUGAAAGGCAUAAUG